UAUGGUUGAUUUUAUUCGUCACCCUAAUUCUGUUUUCCCAAUUUUUACAGCAUCCUUUCCUCGGGAUACUUCUUUUCCUCUCCAUCCUCCUGUUUGUUGAUAUUGCAUAUGAGCUAAUACGUGAAAAUAGAAUCAAAGAUAAAGGUUUCAGCAUAAAUAUAUCUUCCUCAGAGGUUAUUCUCUUUUCUCCUGUUUUUGCAGGUGAGGGUUUAUCUCAAAUAAAAACCGAGAACCUAUGGCGUAUGGUGAUUAAUUAGUUUUUUAUUUUGGGUCUAAGGAAAUCUUAUAAGCCAUUGAUAAAAUAUUAAAAGUGAAAGCCAUUUGACCCAUUGAUAAAAUCUUAUAAGUCAAUAACUCAAGAAGACAUUGUUUUGGGUUGUCUUCUUUAAUACGUUUUUACUCUACAGGAUUUGAUUAUCAAUCAUCAAGUGAUAGGACUAGAAUAUAGAACAAAGAAGAACAAGAAGUGAAUAUAAAGCCGACAACAUAUUGAAUCAGGACCACCGUCUGUAACCAAUCUUUCCACAGAAUAAAAUUUAAUAAGGCAUAUUGGCUAUUGCAUACCGAUCUAUCAUCUUCGUCCAGCCAUCGCUUCUUUGGCAUCCAGUCUGUAUGCCCUAAAAUGUUGUAUGUGGAUGUUUUGGUUGUUAAAAUGGGUUUGUAGUCAACUUACUCUGGGUAGGCAUUUGUUUGAUGAUCUCAAAAUGUAAAUUUGGGCUAUACCAAGAUAUACUUUACGAUUAAGGGAUCAAGUACAUCAUUAACGUUUACUUUAAGAAAGUUUCAGAUGAUAUUACUUUUGGCCAUGUCUCUUGCAGUAUUUCAUACCAUGGCAACAUGGGACUUUAGAUUUUGUAAUUGUUUCAAUUUACUGUUUUGAAUUGUACAAACCAUAGCUACGAGGAGUAUGGGCU